AGUGAACGCUGGCGGUAGGCCUAACACAUGCAAGUCGAACGGCAGCACAGCAAGAGCUUGCUCUUACGGGUGGCGAGUGGCGGACGGGUGAGGAAUACAUCGGAAUCUACUUUUUCGUGGGGGAUAACGUAGGGAAACUUACGCUAAUACCGCAUACGACCUACGGGUGAAAGCAGGGGAUCUUCGGACCUUGCGCGAUUGAAUGAGCCGAUGUCGGAUUAGCUAGUUGGCGGGGUAAAGGCCCACCAAGGCGACGAUCCGUAGCUGGUCUGAGAGGAUGAUCAGCCACCCUGGAACUGAGACACGGUCCAGACUCCUACGGGAGGCAGCAGUGGGGAAUAUUGGACAAUGGGCGCAAGCCUGAUACAGCCAUACCGCGUGGGUGAAGAAGGCCUUCGGGUUGUAAAGCCCUUUUGUUGGGAAAGAAAAGCAGCAGGUUAAUACCCCGCUGUUCUGACGGUACCCAAAGAAUAAGCACCGGCUAACUUCGUG
rnacentral:rRNA from 1 species